CUCAUGGUUUCACGGUAUUGCAAUGAGAACAAUUUAAAACCCUUAGCGAGAAUCAAGUGGAGGACAAGUCUGGUGCCAGCACCCGCGGUAAUUCCAGCUCCACUAGCGUAUAUUAAAGUUGUUGCAGUUAAAAAGCUCGUAGUUGAACCUCUGUCUGGGGCUAGUUUUGGCUUUGGUCAGGCUAGUUCUAGGCAUCCGCCUACAAGACUUAGAGGGCAUUCAGUUGCUCACUAGGAGGAGUAGGCAUUUUACUUUGAAAAAAUUAGAGUGUUUAAGGCAGGCAAUCGCCCGCAUAUAUUAGCAUGGAAUAAUAGAAUAGGACACUUUUCCAUUUCGUUGGUUAUUGGAAUCGUGUAAUGAUUAAUAGGGACAGUUGUGGGCAUUUGUAUUUAAUUGUCAGAGGUGAAAUUCUUGGAUUUAUUAAAGACAAACUAACGCGAAAGCAUUUGCCAAGGAUGUUUUCAUUAAUCAAGAACGAAAGUUAGGGGAUCAAAGACGAUCAGAUACCGUCCUAGUCUUAACUAUAAACUAUUCCGACUCAAUGUUUGACUGGCUUAUAUAACCAGUUGAGCGUUGUAUGAGAAAUCAAAGUCUUUAGGUUCUGGGGGGAGUAUGGUUGCAAAGCUGAAACUUAAAGGAAUUGACGGAAGAGCACAACCAGGAGUGGAUUCUGCGGCUUAAUUUGACUCAACACGGGGAAACUUACCAGGUUAAAACAAUAGUGGGAUUGACAGUUUGAGAGCGCUUUCUUGAUUGGUUGGGUGGUGGUGCAUGGCCGUUCUUAGUUGGUGGAGUGAUUUGUCUGCUUAAUUGCGUUAACGAACGAGACCUUAACCUGCUUACUAGACUGGCGAUCAUCAAUCGUUAGCUCUUCUUAGAGGGACUUUGGUUGUUUUAACUCCAAGGAAGUUUGAGGCAAUAACAGGUCUGUGAUGCCCUUAGAUAUCCUGGGCCGCACGCGUCACACAAUGACUAGUUCAGAAAGUUUUCUCCUGACCCGAAAGGGGAUGGGUAAUCUUGAUAAUACUAGUCGUGUUAGGGAUCGAUCUUUGCAAUUAUAGAUCUUGAACGAGGAAUUCCUAGUAAGUGCGGUUCAUCAGACCGUACUGAUUACGUCCCUGCUCUUUGUACACACCGCCCGUCGCUUCUACCGAGUGGGUGGUCCGGUGAGAUAAUUGAACUUCGCAGGUAACUGAGAGGAAAGAUUAUCAAACCUAUCCACCU
rnacentral:rRNA from 1 species